rnacentral:rRNA from 1 species
CUGGCUCAGGAUGAACGCUGGCGGCGUGCUUAAUACAUGCAAGUCGAACGAAGCGCUUACAGCCGAGUCCCUUCGGGGUGAAGCAGUUUGUGACUUAGUGGCGGACGGGUGAGUAACGCGUGGGUAACCUGCCUCAUGCAGGGGGAUAACAGUUAGAAAUGACUGCUAAUACCGCAUAAGCGCACGGCACCGCAUGGUGGAGUGUGAAAAGAUUUAUCGGCAUGAGAUGGACCCGCGCCUGAUUAGGUAGUUGGUGGGGUAACGGCCUACCAAGCCGACGAUCAGUAGCCGACUUGAGAGAGUGAUCGGCCACAUUGGGACUGAGACACGGCCCAGACUCCUACGGGAGGCAGCAGUAGGGAAUAUUGCACAAUGGGGGAAACCCUGAUGCAGCGACGCCGCGUGAGUGAAGAAGUAUUUCGGUACGUAAAGCUCUAUCAGCAGGGAAGAUAAUGACGGUACCUGACUAAGAAGCCCCGGCUAACUACGUGCCAGCCGCGGC